ncrna:unclassified sequences pemK RNA
AUAAUGAUACUUCCGUAAUUCGCGGCCCGGUCAUAAUGAAGGCGGGGGGAUGAGACUUCCAUGG